rnacentral:piRNA from 1 species
UCUCAGAUGGAUCCUAGUCUCUGGGC